rnacentral:rRNA from 1 species
GACGAACGCUGGCGGCGUGCUUAACACAUGCAAGUCGAACGGAAAGGCCCUGCUUUUGUGGGGUGCUCGAGUGGCGAACGGGUGAGUAACACGUGAGUAACCUGCCCUUGACUUUGGGAUAACUUCAGGAAACUGGGGCUAAUACCGGAUAGGAGCUCCUGCUGCAUGGUGGGGGUUGGAAAGUUUCGGCGGUUGGGGAUGGACUCGCGGCUUAUCAGCUUGUUGGUGGGGUAGUGGCUUACCAAGGCUUUGACGGGUAGCCGGCCUGAGAGGGUGACCGGCCACAUUGGGAGUGGGAUACGGCCCAGACUCCUACGGGAGGCAGCAGUGGGGAAUAUUGCACAAUGGGCGGAAGCCUGAUGCAGCAACGCCGCGUGCGGGAUGACGGCCUUCGGGUUGUAAACCGCUUUCGCCUGUGACGAAGCGUGAGUGACGGUAAUGGGUAAAGAAGCACCGGCUAACUACGUG